CACUGCUGGCCAGGGAUGCCAUUUAGGCACUCAAAUCAAGCACUGCUCCUCCUACCCUGGUCCACUCUAAUCAGACCUUGAGAACAAUGGAACACAGAGAGGCUGUAUCAUCCAUGGGGGAGGACAAGCAUGUGGUGUAUAUGUAAAUACCAGUAAAUACCCAUCAGCAGUUGAAGAAUGGCUUUUAAAAAAUUUAAAAAUAAUAAUUACAAAAAUCAAUGCAAGAAAACAACCAGCAGGAUUUUACAACUGAAACGUUGGUUUGUCUUCUCAUCUAUUUUUUAUGAGAUUGAACCACUGGAACUUGGGGACAAGAUAAGCCUGACCAUAUUGCAACAAUCUGUCCGCUACAGUUGCAGUUCUUCAUGACAAGCAUUCAAAGUGUUAACUAAAACCAUUGAAGCAACAUACCUGCCAUUAAAACUUGAGUCCCAAGAAAUAACUCCAUGACUCUUUGCACUAGCCAGUGGAAUGGCCUGUAUCGCUGUUAUAGGUGGGAGUUGCUGUCUGCGGCUCGGCCAGCGUGCAGGGCAGAGACUAAUGCUUUUUUCCUUUUCUUUCCUUGCCUUGCUUUGCCCUGGAUUGCAUCGGGAUCGUGCUGCAGAUGAUGAACCAGCUGGGCCAAUGAAAACCAAUUCUACAAACAAUCAUAAAGAUAAAAACUUACGCCAGAGAAACACAAACUAAAAAUGCUUAUCAUAGCUUUAAGUUUCUGAGAGACUGAUGGCAAUAUGACCUGCUAAAUUUAAGGGUUGGAACUCUUGGUUCUAGAACUCCAGUUCUGUCCGAUUUACUUUAUUUUCCUUUUCAAGUGAGCAACAAUAUGACUGUCUAAAGCAUGCCUUAUUUAGCCUCUCCUGUAAGGAUGACCUAGCCAGAUAAGUUUUAAUAAUGCUUCAGUGUAGAAGGCGUAAACUAUUUUGGGCUUGAUGUGCUGUGAAUGUUACUUCUUUUUUUUCCCCCCCUGACUAUUUAAACAUUAGAAGUAGUGUCAGUCUGUUCACGCAUGCGCCGUUUUAUACCUCCUGUCGCUGUUAAAAUUGGCAAAGCUCUAAAACGCACUGCUGCCAUCUCGUGAUCCUUUUUGUAAAGUACAGCAAAAGUUAAUAAACAUAUACGGUAUAUAUUUAUAUUUGGGGGAGGGGGGAAACCAAAAUACAGUACUUGUGUUUCAUUUUUAAGCUGCUGAUAUUCAUUCCUUACUGUAUGUCUGAAAGAUGAGAGAAUUGUACUGUUCUGGGACUUAGAGAAAUAAUACAAAUCGAAAUUAUCUCAAGGGCUUAACCUAUGGAGAGACUGAGGUGUCAUCAGACUUCAAAGGCUGGAACGGUUGGACGUGGUAGUGGAAUGCAGUUGAAAACAAAAACAAACCUUUAGUUUAUAAAUAUAUAUAUAUAUGAUUGCUUUUUAAGUGAUUUUUUUUCUCUUUUGUUAACUCACGUAAAUUCUCAAAUCCUUUUGCACUGAUGUGUUCAACAUAUUCUUGUACAUUCAAUUCAGGCAAACUUUUAUAAGUUUUUCUCUUUUUUUGGUUUUGUUUAAAUGAUGAAAUGUUACAGCAUGGUGAUAUUCUAUGCAAUUAGUUACACUCUUUAGUUUGACACUGUAAUUUCCAUGAUUUAAAGAUUGUAGAAAUAGACCUAACAGGGUUCUCAUGAUGUGUGUAACUGUAGAUGCAUGAACUUGUGUUCUGUGUAUUUGUUGAAGUGCAAUGAUGUAUAAAAAGUGGAUUCACCUGUUUUUAAAAAUAAAACACUGACCAAAAAAAAAACCUGCCCGAGACUUU